UCUUUAUCCUCAUCCACUCACACCACCGCGCAUGGCCAUUGGCCUUAUCUUCAGCCACGCGAUAUUUCUUUUGCUCAGUGUUGUCUCUGUUCUUCCCCCACAUCGGCAUCCUACCCAGGCUGAGCUUGGCCCCUGCGCCCUCCCAUCUCCCUCAGCUCAUCCAUCUCCAUGCUCAGUCUGUGCUCUUUUGUCGUCGUGGUCGCCUGGGUCGUCUCAUCGCCCUGCGUCGUCGACCUCGCUCUGGCAGUCAGGCUCCUGUGUUGUAACAUGGCUGUCGUCGCCUACCUCCCUGUGCCCUGCUCCUACUUCGUGGUCGUGUCGUGUGCCAGGGCUAUCCGCAGCUUGCCUGCACCAAGUCCGGGCAUGUCCAUCGCCGUUCCUCGUGCAGCUCGCUGCCGGCUACUGUCAACCUCGCCCAUGGUCGUCAAUCCGCCCAUGUCCGGUGCCUGCCCUCCACGCCGGUCAUCCUUGCCAUGAACCCCUCCAUGCUCGGCCUCAACAUCAGUCGCACCAUCAUCUGCAAUAGAGCAGAUGAGCCCCUCCACCAAUGCCCUCGCUUACAACUCCAUGGCCUCGCCUGAUACAAAGUCGUCGCUUUCCCUGGACAGCGGCGUUGCCGGGCACCAUGUUGCUCAUUUCGGCCAUGUUCCUCUUCGGGCUCAGCAGCUAAGCGUCCUGUCUGACCCUAGCACCUUGCACCGUCCUCGCCGUCAAUUCCUCAGUGACGCCUUGGCUCCUGCAGCCGCGUCCGUGACGUGCUCGUCAUCCCCAGCGACUCGUUUCCUGCUGCACGCUACACUGAGCCCGGUAGCCGUAUUCCAUCAGCUUAUUAGAUAAUUAAGGGUGUAUUUUUUGUGUAUGAUUGAGGAGGAGAGAAAUCACCGGAAUGUGUGGAGAAGAAGCGUAGUCUAAUACGACACCCGCCAAGUGCUCGACAAAAUGUCUAAACUUGGAAUCGUCGCUGUUUCUGUAGAUUUCGGGUCGAGUUUAAUUAUGGUACGUUAAUUGAUCACGUGAUGCGAAGGACAAAAUUUAAGUUGACCCCAUGAUGUUGUAAAGCGUGAGCUACUCCACAAGGUGAUGCUAAUGGACGAACCUAAAGAUGGACAGACGAAGCAAGUACUGGAACAAAGGCUGAGCGUCAAGUGAUCGACGUCUAACAAACACUAACCUAGUGUUUCUUCCAGGCAAGCCCCGGUGCAUUUGCCCCUUCCUUGUGUUUUAAAUGCUUUUUCACCUUAUCUGAUGCAUUAGGUGAUAGGAGUUGUGUGAUAAACAAUUGAUGCAUUACCAUUCCUUGGAAA